UGGGGUAUCGCCAAGUUGGUAAGGCACUGGAUUCUGAUUCCAGCAUUCGGAGGUUCGAGUCCUCCUACCCCAGCCA
rnacentral:tRNA from 1 species